GAGUUUGAUCCUGGCUCAGGAUGAACGCUAGCGAAGUGCUUAACACAUGCAAGUCGAACGAUUUUGUAGCAAUACAAAGUAGUGGCAAACGGGCGAGUAACGCGUAUCUAACCUAUCUUUGAGUGGGGUAUAACUAUGGAGACAUAGCUAAUCCCCCAUACGACCCAUUGAAUGAAAAUAGAUGGGUGAAAGACUUGUCGCUCAGAGAGGGGGGUGCGUCCUAUCAGGUAGUUGGUAAGGUAAUGGCUUACCAAGCCUAUGACGGGUAGCCGGUCUGAGAGGAUGUCCGGCCGCAAUGGGACUGAGACACGGCCCAUACUCCUACGGGAGGCAGCAGUGGGGAAUCUUGCACAAUGGGCGAAAGCCUGAUGCAGCAACUUCGCGUGAAGGAUGAAGCCUCGUGGGGUGUAAACUUCUUUUCUGGGGGAAGACGAAUGACGGUACCUCAGGAAUAAGGGACGGCUAACUACGUGCCAGCAGCCGCGGUAAUACGUAGGUCCCGAGCGUUAUCCGGAAUUACUGGGCGUAAAGCGUCUGUAGCCGGUUGUAUAAGUCUAUUUUCAAAUACUCCGACUUAAUCGGAGAGAGGGAAUAGAUACUGUGCGUCUAGAGGAUUUUAGAGGUUAGUGGAAUUUCCGGUGGAGCAGUGAAAUGCGUUGAUAUCGGAAGGAACGCCGAAAGCGAAAGCAGCUAACUAUAGAAUAUCUGACGGUGAGAGACGAAAGCUUGGGUAGCAAACGGGAUUAGAUACCCCGGUAGUCCAAGCUGUAAAUUAUGUUCGCUAAAUGUUUCUCUUUACGAGGAGUGUUGUAACCUAACGGGUUAAGCGAACCGCCUGGGUAGUAUAUUCGCAAGAAUGAAACUCAAAAGGAUAGGCGGGGGAAC
rnacentral:rRNA from 1 species